GAUGAACGCUGGCGGCGUGCCUAAUACAUGCAAGUCGAGCGAACAGACGAGGAGCUUGCUCCUCUGACGUUAGCGGCGGACGGGUGAGUAACACGUGGAUAACCUACCUAUAAGACUGGGAUAACUUCGGGAAACCGGAGCUAAUACCGGAUAAUAUAUUGAACCGCAUGGUUCAAUAGUGAAAGACGGUUUUGCUGUCACUUAUAGAUGGAUCCGCGCCGCAUUAGCUAGUUGGUAAGGUAACGGCUUACCAAGGCAACGAUGCGUAGCCGACCUGAGAGGGGGAUCGGCCACACGGGAACGGGAACACGGUCCAAACCCCUAGGGGAGGAACAAGUAGGAAAUCUUCCGAAAGGGGCGAAAGCCUGCGGGGGAAACGCCGGGGGGGGGAUGAAGGUUUUCGGAUCGUAAAACCUUUUUUUUGGGGAAAAAAAAAUGUGAAAGUAACUAUGCACGUUUUGACGGUACCAAAUAAAAAAGCCACGGCAAACUACGU
rnacentral:rRNA from 1 species